rnacentral:rRNA from 1 species
UAUACCUACGGGGCGCAGCAGUGGGGGAUAUUGCACAAUGGGGGGAACCCUGAUGCAGCGACGCCGCGUGGGUGAAGAAGCGCCUCGGCGCGUAAAGCCCUGUCAGCAGGGAAGAAAAUGACGGUACCUGAAGAAGAAGCCCCGGCUAACUACGUGCCAGCAGCCGCGGUAAUACGGAGGAUGCGAGCGUUAUCCGGAUUUAUUGGGUUUAAAGGGUGCGUAGGCGGUUUUUUAAGUUAGUGGUUAAACGUCGGGGCUUCACCUUGAUUUGCCUUUAAUACUGUAAGACUUGAGUUCAGACGAGG